AUGCCAGAGGCCCCAUCCUCCUUGNCUAUCCAUUUGACCAUGAGGAAUCUUUAUUUUCAGGCCAUGUUCCACGCCCUAACUGUGGAGGACCCCCGCAACGAGCGCCCAGACCAGGAGCCCCUUCGUCCACGUUCCACACCAAGAAGAGGAGGACAAGAUGAAGAUCCUGGCUGUGUGGCAAUCCCACGCGGCCAAGUGCAAAACCUGGCCCCCCGGGUGAGUAGCACCCCACAGGGUAGACCCCCCUUGUUCCCUUGGAGGGGGAACCCUGGCAAUAACAUUGGCUGCUGAUGUCAUAAAGCUACUUGUUGAUGCCGGCCUACUCAACAGUAGCGUUUUUCCAUCAAUUCAGGCCCAGGUCCCAAGGGACAACGNUAAUGAGAUCUUGGCUGUGGAGCAACCCAAGUAGAGGAACAUACAAAACCGUGGGCUGUGAGUAGUAUUCAGAGGAGACCUCCUCUCCGCUGGUCCUUUUUACUUAAUUCCCUCAGCUAGACCCACUCAUUAACCCUUUGACUUCUCAGGUUCUUCAAGCAACAUGUCCUGUGAGCUUCACUUUAGGUUUGGCGAGCGUCAUCCCCUCCCCACCCUCUGUGGCUCCUUCUCUAACUUCUCCUCUUUCCUUUGCAGCUUUGCAGGAGCUCCUGAAGAGGCUGAGAACCAAAGCAAGCGCCGUGACUCCAGAAGAGGGCUGUUGGGUUGAGUAGGUCAACCGAUGUUGCGACUGUACCACUUGAGGGUGAAGGUGGGCUCAGGCAGCUGAAGGACCCUCCAUCCUCUUGGAGGAAGUGGUACAGUCCAGACGCCGGUCGAAGGGAGGUCCCGUCUCCCAUUUUAACCUGACAGCGCAGGCUUAGCUGGUUGCCUGAACUGGAGCCGAGAAGGAAUUUUUCCCUGUUGGAUCCAAAUUGGCCCUGGGAGAAAAUGGGGUUUUUUCGCCUUCUCUGCGCUGCCUUCUCCUUGGGCUGCUCCGGAUUGGCUGACAGCUCAGGGGGAGUUAAAAUGGGGGCUCCUGGGAGGUAAGGUGGUUUAGAGCUGGGUAAUACUCCUCAACGUUCUAGUUUAAUAAAAACCUGUUGAGCUGAAAUGAAUCGCGUCUU
rnacentral:lncRNA from 1 species